rnacentral:lncRNA from 1 species
AAGAAGGGUAUAGAUGCUUCAAAGCGAAAUUCUAUAGUGACUAAUGAUAAGAAGAACAUGAGUUUACGCACUUCACUUCUUCUGCCAAAAAAGUUGUGGCGAUGUGCGGUUUAUAUGGAGAGUCGAAACAGUAAAAUAUAGAAUAUAUAUGGUCUUUUUAGGGAAUUAAUUGAUCUUAAUUACGUUGUUACAAACGCUACCAAUAUAUAAAGCUAAGUUGAC